UGGUGAUGUGUUGGCGGGAAAGGCCGCGGCUCUCCGUGCUUCGCGUGUCGAAGUCUGGGGCGCACGACGGAGGAAUGUCGUGACGUCGGGCUUGAGCCGGACCUAACCGUGUCGAAACCAAGUCGUACCGAGCCGAGUCGAACCGAGCCGAGUCACGUCCACACAAAGUGUAUCUACAAACUCCCCCUUGGACGCUACUUGUGAUGGCCGCGGCUCUCCGUGCUUCGCGUGGCGAACUCUGGGGCGCACGACGGAGGAAUGUCGUGACGUCGGGCUUGAGCCGGACCUAACCAUGUCGAAACCAAGUAGUACCGAGCCGAGUCGAACCGAGCCAAGUCGCGUCCACACAAAGUGUA
rnacentral:lncRNA from 1 species